GUUCAAAAAUUCAUUUCUGAAAGAAAAAAGAUUAAUUGCAAAGAUAUGCGUUUGAGCAUAUGUAAAAAUAUGAUUCUACAUUAUUAGAUAUCAAUGGAAGAGUGACCAUUUGAGUGACAUACAGUUACGAAAUUAUGUAUAAAAGAGAGUUGCUUGUUAAUGGAUCGUUAAACUAACAGCACAUUCUUUUUGCGUUGUGCAAAAUCUCGUGUCGAUGACUAACAGUUUUUUUUUCUUUCUUUUUAAGAUCGCGAUGUAUGAGAAUGUCGAACGCCUUCGAGUUAAAAGGACACGUCGUCCUUCGUGCAAUGCAAAAGUGGCGUCGGUGUUUGUACAGAAAGCUCGGAAUUAAAUGUUUUAUGCCGUCAUCGUAUCUUGCACAAUAAGAAUGAAUGGAUGAGACGAAGCCUCUCUGCGACGCGGUGCUCAUCACGUGCAAAUCCUGUCCAUACAUAUGCGUGCACGAUUGUUGCGGCUUUGGCGAGAUACGAAUUUAUCGGAUCAAGACAAAAAAAAGAGCGAAAUAUAAUAUAAUUUAUGAUACAAUUUAAAAGAGUUUUUACACCACACACGUGAAUAAAUUCGAAUGAAUUUUAUCAUGUUUUUAUUAUUAAAAAAAAA